UACGAAGGGGGCUAGCGUUGUUCGGAAUUACUGGGCGUAAAGGGCGCGUAGGCGGCCUCGUCCGUCCGGCGUGAAAUGCCUGGGCUCAACCUAGGAAUUGCGCUCGAUACAGCGAGGCUAGAGUGUGGGAGAGGUUGGUGGAAUUCCCAGUGUAGAGGUGAAAUUCGUAGAUAUUGGGAAGAACACCGGUGGCGAAGGCGGCUCACUGGCCCGUUUCUGACGCUCAGGCGCGACAGCGUGGGGAUCAAACAGG
rnacentral:rRNA from 1 species